ACAUUCUAAUAAUGCAGUCGAGCGACAGACGAGGAGCUUGCUCCUCUGACGUUAGCGGCGGACGGGUGAGUAACACGUGGAUAACCUACCUAUAAGACUGGGAUAACUUCGGGAAACCGGAGCUAAUACCGGAUAAUAUAUUGAACCGCAUGGUUCAAUAGUGAAAGACGGUUUUGCUGUCACUUAUAGAUGGAUCCGCGCCGCAUUAGCUAGUUGGUAAGGUAACGGCUUACCAAGGCAACGAUGCGUAGCCGACCUGAGAGGGUGAUCGGCCACACUGGAACUGAGACACGGUCCAGACUCCUACGGGAGGCAGCAGUAGGGAAUCUUCCGCAAUGGGCGAAAGCCUGACGGAGCAACGCCGCGUGAGUGAUGAAGGUCUUCGGAUCGUAAAACUCUGUUAUUAGGGAAGAACAAAUGUGUAAGUAACUAUGCACGUCUUGACGGUACCUAAUCAGAAAGCCACGGCUAACUACGUGCCAGCAGCCGCGGUAAUACGUAGGUGGCAAGCGUUAUCCGGAAUUAUUGGGCGUAAAGCGCGCGUAGGCGGUUUUUUAAGUCUGAUGUGAAAGCCCACGGCUCAACCGUGGAGGGUCAUUGGAAACUGGAAAACUUGAGUGCAGAAGAGGAAAGUGGAAUUCCAUGUGUAGCGGUGAAAUGCGCAGAGAUAUGGAGGAACACCAGUGGCGAAGGCGACUUUCUGGUCUGUAACUGACGCUGAUGUGCGAAAGCGUGGGGAUCAAACAGGAUUAGAUACCCUGGUAGUCCACGCCGUAAACGAUGAGUGCUAAGUGUUAGGGGGUUUCCGCCCCUUAGUGCUGCAGCUAACGCAUUAAGCACUCCGCCUGGGGGAGUACGACCGCAAGGUUGAAACUCAAAAGGAUGACGGGACCCGCCACAAGCGGUGGAGCAUGUGGUUUAAUUCGAAGCAACGCGAAGAACCUUACCAAAUCUUGACAUCCUCUGACCCCUCUAGAGAUAGAGUUUUCCCCUUCGGGGGACAGAGUGACAGGU
rnacentral:rRNA from 1 species